CGGCCGGCCGCGUCGGGCGCGCAGGCAGGAAGGGACGCCGGCACGCCGCACGGCCGCGCCGCUGCCCGCUGCGGUCUGCGGACGCGCAGGGCCAGAGCGGCCAGGGCCUUGUCGCAUGGCGCCUCGGCUGCUGCCGCCUGCCGGUGCAGCGGUGCUGCCUCUGUGUGCUGGCGUGCUGCGCCGUGCCGCAGACCGCAGUGCAUGGACUGGGAGCAGAGCAGUAGAGUAAGCACUGAGCAAGUGAGCAGUGAGCAAUCGGUGGGAAUUCUUCUUGCAAGUCAAGCGGAUAUCAUCACUUAUUUUCAAGGCACGAAGGAUUCGGAAAGUUGUCUUAUAAAUUUUAAGCUUUCUUAUCAUUAUGUUAUUUUUUGCUUUAAUAUGCCAAACAACUAGUACUUAGUAUGUUGGAUAAUUUCAAGAUUUGUCCAAUUCCAUGUUAAAUGUAUUGUGAUCUUGUUGUGCAUACUCAAUUUAUAUGUCCUAAAUAUUAAAAAUUAUUGGUA